rnacentral:rRNA from 1 species
UGGGGAAUAUUGCACAAUGGGCGCAAGCCUGAUGCAGCCAUGCCGCGUGUAUGAAGAAGGCCUUCGGGUUGUAAAGUACUUUCAGCGGGGAGGAAGGCGAUGCGGUUAAUAACCGCGUCGAUUGACGUUACCCGCAGAAGAAGCACCGGCUAACUCCGUGCCAGCAGCCGCGGUAAUACGGAGGGUGCAAGCGUUAAUCGGAAUUACUGGGCGUAAAGCGCACGCAGGCGGUCUGUCAAGUCGGAUGUGAAAUCCCCGGGCUCAACCUGGGAACUGCAUCCGAAACUGGCAGGCUUGAGUCUCGUAGAGGGGGGUAGAAUUCCAGGUGUAGCGGUGAAAUGCGUAGAGAUCUGGAGGAAUACCGGUGGCGAAGGCGGCCCCCUGGACGAAGACUGACGCUCAGGUGCGAAAGCGUAGGGAGCAAACA